UACUGGUCGCCUCCUGAAGGAUCAAUCUGGU
rnacentral:piRNA from 1 species